UGGGGAAUAUUCCACAAUGGCUGGAACUCUGAUGCAGCGACGCCGCGUGGACGAAGAAGGCUUUCGAGUCGUAAAGUUCUUUUAUAUGGGAAGAUAAUGACGGUACCAUAAGAAAAAGCCCCGGCUAACUACUUGCCAGCAGCCGCGGUAAUACGAAGGGGGCUAGCGUUGUCCGGAAUCACUGGGCGUAAAGGGUUCGCAGGCGGAAGUGCAAGUCAGGUGGAAAAGGCAGUAGCUUAACUACUGUAAGCAUUUGAAACUGCAUAUCUUGAGAACAGUAUAGGUAAGUGGAAUUUUUAGUGUAGCGGUGAAAUUCGUAGAUAUUAAAAAGAAUACCGGUGGCGAAGGCGACUUACUGGGCUCAUUCUGACGCUGAGGAACAAAAGCGUGGGUAGCAAACAGG
rnacentral:rRNA from 1 species